AGUGUGUUAUUGAAAAGGAGAACAAUUUCAAGCAGGCAGGCGAGAGAUUCCGGUCCUUUGACCCUGCCAGGCAAGAACGUUUCAUCCAGCAGUGGGUUGAUGCACUCACGGAUGCUCGCGUCACUCAUGAAAUCCAGGGCAUCUGGGUCUCAUACUGGUCACAGUGCGACGUGUCCCUCGGGCAGAAGCUGGGGUCGCGGCUCAAGGUGAAGCCGAACAUGUAGAUGGACUAGCGGAGAGAAACAUCCACAGACGCACCCCAGUUGGUCUCAAUGGAGCUAAAGGGGAGGGGCAACAUGAACUAAAUCUGUGCUGUCUUUCUGGGUGUAGUCAUCAAUAAAAUGUAAAACACUGAUACGUACCAUACUA